rnacentral:rRNA from 1 species
UGCCUGGUAGUGGGGGAUAACGUCCGGAAACGGGCGCUAAUACCGCAUACGUCCUGAGGGAGAAAGUGGGGGAUCUUCGGACCUCGCGCUAUCAGAUGAGCCUAGGUCGGAUUAGCUAGUUGGUGGGGUAAAGGCCUACCAAGGCGACGAUCCGUAACUGGUCUGAGAGGAUGAUCAGUCACACUGGAACUGAGACACGGUCCAGACUCCUACGGGAGGCAGCAGUGGGGAAUAUUGGACAAUGGGCGAAAGCCUGAUCCAGCCAUGCCGCGUGUGUGAAGAAGGUCUUCGGAUUGUAAAGCACUUUAAGUUGGGAGGAAGGGCAGUAAGUUAAUACCUUGCUGUUUUGACGUUACCAACAGAAUAAGCACCGGCUAACUUCGUGCCAGCAGCCGCGGUAAUACGAAGGGUGCAAGCGUUAAUCGGAAUUACUGGGCGUAAAGCGCGCGUAGGUGGUUCAGCAAGUUGGAUGUGAAAUCCCCGGGCUCAACCUGGGAACUGCAUCCAAAACUACUGAGCUAGAGUACGGUAGAGGGUGGUGGAAUUUCCUGUGUAGCGGUGAAAUGCGUAGAUAUAGGAAGGAACACCAGUG